GACGCUUAACCGACUGAGCCACCCAGGAUCCCUUCAUGUCCAACUUUAAAAGAGAAGGACAGAGAAUAUAGCCAAUUCUUUUAGAGUCAAGUGAGAGUUUUUCUUUCUUUUUUUUUUUUUUAGGACAGCAGGUAAUGCUGAUGAGAAUGAUCCAAUGUGGAGAUAAAGUCAAUAUACAGAAAAGAGAAAGGACACCGGCAGGAAUGAUAUCCUUGAGGAAGCCUGAGGGGAUAGAAGGUUGUCCUUAAUUAGAAGCAGAACCAUUAGCCAGGCUAUAAGGAUAGAAAUGCAGAAUAAAUAAGAAAUUUCCAGAUUCAGACAGCCACCAGUUACCUUCCAACGUGACAACUGUGAGAGGAUUAAAUGAGCAUACAAAUGAGGCCUUUGGAACAGGGCCUGACAGAUACUAAGUACCUAUUGAAAGCCAGGAGGGAGUAAAACUAAAGGUGGUGGUCACAAGCACACAAUAAGCUCCUGCACCCUAAUCUCCAUCUCAGAACCUGCAACCCAGAAACCCAACCUGCAGGCAUACCUCAGGCACAUACCCCAUUGCUGCCAUUAUUGGUUCAUUGCCUGUCACUCAGUGGACUGGGUUUGUUUCUGAUGUAUUUUUAUAUUCUCAGGAUCUAGGCAGCAUCUGGCACAUAUGAACACCUAGAAAUGCUUGUGGAAUAAAUUCAUUAAA